rnacentral:rRNA from 1 species
CCUACGGGUGGCAGCAGUGGGGGAUAUUGCACAAUGGGGGGAACCCUGAUGCAGCGACGCCGCGUGUGGGAAGACGGUCCUCUGGAUUGUAAACCACUGUCCCCAGGGACGAAAAUGACGGUACCUGGGGAGGAAGCUCCGGCUAAUUACGUGCCAGCAGCCUCGGUAAUAGGUAGGGAGCGAGGGUUGUCCGGAAUUACUGGGGGUAAAGGGAGCGAGGGGGGGGGUGCAGGUUGGGGGGCAAAGCUUCGGGCUAAACUGGGAGUCGCACUCGAAACUGCAGCUCUUGAGUGAAGUAGAGGCAGGUGGAAUUCCUAGUGUAGCGGUGAAAUGCGUAGAUAUUAGGAGGAACACCAGUGGCGAAGGCGGCCUGCUGGGCUUUUACUGACGCUGAGGCUCGAAAGUGUGGGGAGCAAACAGGAUUAGAUACCCUAGUAGUC